rnacentral:rRNA from 1 species
UACAGAGGUCCCAAGCGUUGUUCGGAUUCAUUGGGCGUAAAGGGUGCGUAGGUGGCGUCGUAAGUCGGGUGUGAAAUCUCGGGGCUUAACUCCGAAACUGCAUUCGAUACUGCGGUGCUUGAGGACUGGAGAGGAGACUGGAAUUUACGGUGUAGCAGUGAAAUGCGUAGAGAUCGUAAGGAACAUCAGUGGCGAAAGCGACUUCCUGGACCAAUACUGACGCUCAUGUGCGAAAGCGUGGGGAGCAAACAGG